rnacentral:lncRNA from 1 species
GUCAGGUUCCGAUGUGACUCAGCACAGUGCUCACAGUCCAUGCUGUCAAGAAUCUCAGCUUAGGAGGAAGCAAAGAGCCACUCUACAGUAAGGUAAAUAAGUCAUUUAGUCUCUGCACAUUUACCUCUGUAUUUAUCAAGUAUUUGUCGAAGGAAGGAAGGAAGUGAAUAAAGGAGGUGAGGAAGAAGAAGUUUCCUGGGAGAAAGCACUCGAGGAGCAAUAGGUGUCCUCUUUCAUUUCCACUAAAUAUGCUGCUCAAUGCCUUGUGGCAUAACAGAAUUAAAACUUUUCAGAUGCCCUGCCACUUUAACAAGACCAGGACGUCAAAAUGGCUCCCACAGAACUAUCAUUUGAUCUUAUCUUUCGCUCUCACACACAUCGACCUGCAUUUUCUUUUUGAUUCUUUAUGUCUGCAAAUAAACUGAUGUAAUUAAAAAGGUGAAGAAAGAA